rnacentral:rRNA from 1 species
UGUGUAGGCUGUUCUCUAAGUUUGGUGUGAAAUCUCCCGGCUUAACUGGGAGGGUGCGCCGAAAACUGGGGGGCUUGAGUAUGGGAGAGGAAAGCGGAAUUCCUGGUGUAGCGGUGAAAUGCGUAGAUAUCAGGAGGAACACCUGCGGUGUAGACAGCUUUCUGGACCAUCACUGACGCUGAGACACGAAAGCGUGGGUAGCAAACAGGAUUAGAUACCCUGGUAGUCCACGCCCUAAACGAUGCAUACUUGGUGUGAGCCGUUCAUUCGGUUCGUGCCGGAGCUAACGCGUUAAGUAUGCCGCCUGGGGAGUACGGUCGCAAGGCUGAA